AUUGAACGCUGGCGGCAGGCCUAACGCAUGCAAGUCGAGCGGAUGAAGGGAGCUUGCUCCUGGAUUCAGCGGCGGACGGGUGAGUAAUGCCUAGGAAUCUGCCUGGCAGUGGGGGAUAACGUCCGGAAACGGGCGCUAAUACCGCAUACGUCCUGAGGGAGAAAGUGGGGGAUCUUCGGACCUCACGCUAUCAGAUGAGCCUAGGUCGGAUUAGCUAGUUGGUGGGGUAAAGGCCUACCAAGGCGACGAUCCGUAACUGGUCUGAGAGGAUGAUCAGUCACACUGGAACUGAGACACGGUCCAGACUCCUACGGGAGGCAGCAGUGGGGAAUAUUGGACAAUGGGCGAAAGCCUGAUCCAGCCAUGCCGCGUGUGUGAAGAAGGUCUUCGGAUUGUAAAGCACUUUAAGUUGGGAGGAAGGGCAGUAAGUUAAUACCUUGCUGUUUUGACGUUACCAACAGAAUAAGCACCGGCUAACUUCGUG
rnacentral:rRNA from 1 species